UUCUGCCAGGCCCCUAAGGCUCGGGAAACCUGUGCCUCGUUCAUUUCAGAGGCCUGACUUCAAACAUGCCUUCGCCUUCUCUCUCACUCUGCAGCGUCUUUGGUAGUGCUAAACAGACUGUCCAAGGCUAUUAAGAGCAAUGGGACAACUUGAUAAGGAUGGACAUAAAACCAUAGGAGGAAAAAAAAAGAACGGCAAAUAGACAACAAACUAAUUGCAGGGUUUCACUAAACGUGAUGACGGUGGAUGGAGACUCAGUAGGGAGUCCAUUGAGAGGACAUCACAUAACUGGGAAAGGAACGUUUAAAAAAAGGAUUGUUAUCUUUUAAAAACUCACCCGGCUCUGUUGCACAUUCUUGGUUGAGUGAUGACAUGGCAGUUCAUGUGGAACACUGCACUCAUGCAUUGUGGCUCUCAAUUAAACUCUCUGACUACUGUUAGGUGAGAAAGACUGCACAAAUAUAACAACAUCUGUGACAUCCAAAUAAGUCUGUAUAAAAUGUGUGUGAUUGGUGAUCUUGGCACACUGCCAAGCAGAUUUUUGAUCAUGGUCGCUUACCAGCUAACAGGUUUCUCUUAAAGGCCAACAUCUCAAAGGGACAUGUUUUGCGCAGCCCCUGUGUAUAGUUAUGGGUUUACAACUCCCUCUGCAGAGAAAAACGUCUGUGAUGCCAGUGCGCAGAAUGUCAUAAAACUGCACCCCCGCUAAAAUAAACCCCCUUGCGCUUUAAUCCGACGUGACAUUAAACCAGCGAGUGUGUUUUCACAGUGACUCAGCCGCCACUGAUGGCGCUAAAAAGAAACAUACCCAUCGCGCCCGCUCUGUAUGAGAACAUGUCAUGUCUCCUUAAACGCCAAUCCCGUCUAAACGGUCCUGAAAACGAGGAGGGACUCGCUGGGCUCCAACAGCCUCCUGUCAGGCAAGGCAUUCCAUAGUGCCAUGAUGAGUCAAUCUUUUCAUUUGAUAUUUUUACUAUGUCUGAGGCAAGAGGUGGGGAGAUGUCCGCAGACUACUGAGAAAAGGAAGCCCCCACAAGAGAGAAAAUGUUUAAAGCGGAGCCGUGGCAUGACUAUCAGAUUGAUGUAGUAUUUCUUUACAAAAAUGCUCUGGUUGGCAUGUAGUUGUACCACCACCACUUAUUGCAAAUGACAAAAAAGCCUGCCACAUGCAAGCCUUUUGGUCUUUCUGAUCUAUCAUAGUUACAUGGUCUACUACAUUUGCGCUGAGGGA